rnacentral:misc_RNA from 1 species
UCCCCGUUACCGGGGCAGUCUAGCUAGAAAAAUUCAACUAGCUAUAAGGGUUGCGCUCGUUACUGGACUUAACCAUACAUCUCACGACACGAGCUGACGACGGCCAUGCAACACCUGUCACCUGAUUCCCGAAGGCACUUUCUCCUUUCGGAGAAAUUCCAGGGAUGUCAAGCCUUGGUAAGGUUCUGCGCUUACUGUCGAAUUAAACAACACGCUCCACCGCUUGUGCGGGUCCCCGUCAAUUCCUUUAUGUUUUAAGCUUGCGCUCGUACUCCACAGGCGGGAUGCUUAACGCGUUAGCUUCGCUACUACCAGGGUCGAUACUGAUAACAGCUAGCAUCCAUAGUUUACGGCGUGGACUAC